CAUGAGUAAAGGCUUAUGAGUGUAAAAGGUAGCAACAUUGAAGCUAAGCUUACACGGGUCACUAAUUCUUGCAGAAAAAGAUUUGAGGUCAAAUAAUUUUCAAGGAUGAGGGGAUAUUGUAACUAAAAUCAGCAACCAAGGAAAGAAAUAAGAAAGAAAGUCGGAGUUACAUGCAUCAGCCAAAGAUUUGCAAGAGUUUGGAAUGGUCAAAAACGAUCCAAAACUCAAAGAGGAGUAUGAAAGUUGUUUUUACUACACCACCUGAUCGAAAGAAGUAUAAGCUAAGAGUAUAUGCCCACAUGUACAUGAGCAGGGCUUCUGUUGACUCCAACUAGACAGAAGCAAUAUGAAUCAAGCUCAACAAAGAAGAAGAACCGCAUAACUUAGGAAUCAUUUGCAUUGAGAAAAGAUCCAUGAAGUUGUUGAGGCGUGAGGAGGGGUUGUAAUACUCUGUGUUUAAGAUUGGAGGGACUCCUUAUGCGAUGAGGUCUGAAAUAGUGCAUUGGGAGCAGGAUAUGCAUGAUUUUGAUCAUACAAAUGGUUUAGAUUUGAGGAUAGAUCUUUUUAAAAUAGGAGGGGUUUGGUACAACCUAGAUUAGCAUCAACUUGAAAGAUUUGAAGAUUGUGGAAGAACCAUGUACACAAUGGACCAAAGAAAGACGUAAUGGACUGAAAUGGUAUCAAGAAAAUUCUAAGGGCGGAAAGGGGAUCUAAUAAGUUUGAUCCAUGAAGUUUUGGACCGAGAAAAGACUAUGGGCCUUGAUCCGGAUUUCAUCAAACAUGGAUUGACUAUGGACCAGUAUGGGUGAAUAGUGAGAAACUUGCUUUGUAACACCCCAAAUCCGGUCUAAGUCAAAGUUGCCUUGAUUAGCCGUGCAACAAUCAAACAAGAACAUGCACGGCCAACCACUUGAACCCAAUUACCAAACCGAAGAUGCUACAAUUCGUACAAAGACAUUUAAUUCAAGGUUCCAAAGAUGAAGCUUGAAGCCCUAGUUCAAACAUCCAAGCACACAUUUCCUAUCAAACAUAACUCACAAUGAUGGUUU
rnacentral:lncRNA from 1 species